GAUGAUCGCUGGCGGCGUGCCUAAUACAUGCAAGUCGAACGAGGUGCUUUUGUAGCAAUACGAGAGUAUCCUAGUGGCGAACGGGUGAGUAACGCGUUGGUGACCUACCCCAAAGUGUGGGAUAACAGUCCGAAAGGAUUGCUAAUACCGCAUGUGGUCUUCGGAUUUAGAAACUGAUGACUAAAGGAGCAAUUCGCUUUGGGAGGGACCUGCGUCCCAUCAGCUGGUUGGUGAGGUAAUGGCUCACCAAGGCUACGACGGGUAGGGGACCUGAGAGGGUGACCCCCACAAUGGAACUGAAACACGGUCCAUACACCUACGGGUGGCAGCAGUAGGGAAUAUUGCACAAUGGGCGAAAGCCUGAUGCAGCAACGCCGCGUGUGCGAUGAAGGCCUUCGGUCGUAAAGCGACUUUCUGGAGAUGAGCAAGACAGUAUCUCAGGAAUAAGUACUCGGCUAACUAACGUG
rnacentral:rRNA from 1 species